GACGUAGGGCGCGAGCGUUGUCCGGAUUUAUUGGGCGUAAAGAGCUCGUAGGCGGCUUGUCGCGUCGAAUGUGAAAACUCGGGGCUCAACUCCGAGCUUGCAUUCGAUACGGGCAGGCUAGAGUUCGGUAGGGGAGACUGGAAUUCCUGGUGUAGCGGUGAAAUGCGCAGAUAUCAGGAGGAACACCGGUGGCGAAGGCGGCUUGCUGGGCCAGUUCUGACGCUGAGGAGCGAAAGCGUGGGGAGCGAACAGG
rnacentral:rRNA from 1 species